rnacentral:pre_miRNA from 7 species
UUCUAGGAAAGGGUCUGAAAGACCCCCGAAGGGAGACCCUCAUUCAAGCCUCGGGACAGCGGCGGACCCAAGAAGACACUGAGACCG